rnacentral:misc_RNA from 1 species
UUUUGACCAUGAAAUGGUUAUUGCCUUCUUUAGUUCUUGUUUUGCUAAUUUUUCAACAACCCCUUUGCACUUGUUCAUCAAUUUCUGAUCUUUUUGAAACUUGGUGUCAGCAAAAUGGAAAAAAAUAUUCUUCAGAACAAGAAAGGAUGUAUAGAUUCAAGGUGUUUGAAGAAAACUAUGCUUAUAUUACAGAGCAUAAUAGCAAAGGGAAUUCCAGUUAUACCCUUGGUCUCAAUGCCUAUUCUGAUCUUACUCACCAUGAAUUUAGGAAUUCUUUCUUGGGUCUUUCCUCUUCUGCUAAUGAUUUCAUUAGGUUGAAAGGUAGAGGGUCAGGUUCUUCUGCAGCUGGAGUUUUGAGUGAUGUUGAUGCUCCUUCUUCUUUGGAUUGGAGAGACAAAGGAGCUGUUACUAAUGUCAAAAAUCAAGGAAGUUGUGGUGCUUGCUGGUCAUUCUCGGCCACUGGUGCAAUUGAAGGUAUCAAUAAGAUUACCACUGGAUCUCUCGUUAGCCUCUCUGAGCAGGAGUUAAUUGAUUGCGACAGAAGUUACAAUCAAGGUUGUGGAGGUGGAUUGAUGGACUAUGCUUUUGAAUUUGUCAUAAAGAAUGGUGGUAUUGACACCGAAAAGGAUUAUCCUUUUAGAGAAAAGGAAGGAACAUGCAACAAAAACAAGCUACAAAGACGUGUUGUAACCAUUGAUGGAUAUACUGAUAUUCCUCAAAAUGAUGAGGACAAGCUUCUAAAGGCAGUGGCAACUCAACCUGUGAGUGUUGGGAUAUGCGGUAGUGCGAGAGCAUUUCAAUCAUAUUCAAAGGGGAUAUUCACUGGCCCGUGUCCUACAGAUUUAGAUCAUGCGGUACUGAUUGUGGGCUAUGGUUCCGAAAAUGGAUUUGACUACUGGAUUAUAAAGAACUCAUGGGGAACAAGCUGGGGAAUAAAUGGUUAUAUCCACAUGCAGCGUAAUAGUGGGAAUCAAGAAGGGAUCUGCGGGGUCAAUAAGUUAGCUUCAUAUCCAACCAAGACUAGCCCAAAUCCACCAAAUCCUCCAGCUCCUGGUCCAUCCAAAUGCAGCACAUUCACCUCAUGUGGUCAAGGUGAAACCUGUUGCUGUGGUUUGAAGUUUCUUGGAAUAUGCCUUUCUUGGAAAUGCUGCGGGUUGGAUUCAGCAGUAUGUUGUAAAGAUGGACGCCACUGUUGCCCAUGGGAUUAUCCAAUUUGUGACACAAGUCGGAACCUUUGCCUCAAGCGAAUGAGCAAUGCUACUAUAGUGCAACAGCCUCAGAAGGAACCAUUUACUGGGAAAUUCGGAGGUCUUAUUUACCCUUUCUAGGCGUAGGAGCCUGGCACAACAUCAUUAUCAUAUUCAUGGUGUUACAAAUUUACUUUGUGGCGUACAUAGUUACCCCCAAGUAAUUCCACUUGUUGCUGGAUAUCAUUUUGUAUUUGUAGAACUGGUAUAGUCGCUUCUGGUCAGACGACGAUCAUCUUGUACCACAUUAUUAGCUUGUAUUUUAGUAGUAUUUCAGACUUUCCAGUUUUUAGAUGACGACUUUGCUAUCAUCUACCUUCCAAGGUAGGGUAAAGUUACGUAGAGUUGAAGAAACUAUAAAUGUGUGCGCUUGACUCUUUCAACAAUGGUGAUUUUGGAGGGAUUUUAUUUACUUUCUUGGUUAGUGAAUUUGGGUUUU